rnacentral:rRNA from 1 species
AUUGAACGCUGGCGGCAUGCCUUACACAUGCAAGUCGAACGGUAACGGGCCUUCGGGUGCCGACGAGUGGCGAACGGGUGAGUAAUGCAUCGGAACGUACCUUUCAGUGGGGGAUAACGUAGCGAAAGUUACGCUAAUACCGCAUAUUCUGUGAGCAGGAAAGCAGGGGAUCGCAAGACCUUGCGCUGAUUGAGCGGCCGAUGUCAGAUUAGCUAGUUGGUGAGGUAAAGGCUCACCAAGGCGACGAUCUGUAGCGGGUCUGAGAGGAUGAUCCGCCACACUGGAACUGAGACACGGUCCAGACUCCUACGGGAGGCAGCAGUGGGGAAUUUUGGGACAAUGGGGGCAACCCUGAUCCAGCCAUGCCGCGUGAGUG